AUAUCAUAAUGUGUUUGUUUCUCGUUGCCUUCCACAUUGCACUGUUGUGCAACAAACGGCCUGAGGUAGAGGGGUUUUAGUCGGUAGGUCCGAGGACUUCUUCCUCGGGAAUCCGACACUACCCAGGCGUACGGACGGCUGGGUGUCUUCUGAAGAUUUCCCCUCUUCC
rfam:Agrilus planipennis Contig5797, whole genome shotgun sequence.